rnacentral:rRNA from 1 species
AGAUUGAACGCUGGCGGCAUGCCUAACACAUGCAAGUCGAACGGGAGUAGCAAUACUCUAGUGGCGGACGGGUGAGGAAUACGUAGGAAUUUGCCCUUAAGUGGGGGAUAACCCGGGGAACCCGGAUUAAUACCGCAUGACCUCGAAAGAGCAAAGUGGGGGAUCGCAAGACCUCACGCUUUUGGAGAAGCCUACGUCGGAUUAGCUAGUUGGUGAGGUAAUGGCUCACCAAGGCGACGAUCCGUAACUGGUCUGAGAGGAUGAUCAGUCACACCGGAACUGAGACACGGUCCGGACUCCUACGGGAGGCCAGCAGUGGGGAAUAGUUGGACAAGUGGGCGCAAGCCUGGAUCCAGCAAUGCCGCGUGUGUGAAGAAGGCCUUCGGUGUAAGCUACGUUUAA